UACGUAGGUGGCAAGCGUUGUCCGGAUUUACUGGGCGUAAAGCGCGCGCAGGCGGAUUGGUCAGUCCGGGGUGAAAUCUCACGGCCCAACUGUGAGCGGUCCCCGGAUACUGCCAGUCUCGAGGUGUCUAGAGGAGAGCGGAAUUCCCGGUGUAGUGGUGGAAUGCGUAGAUAUCGGGAAGAACGCCAGUGGCGAAAGCGGCUCUCUGGGGACCACCUGACGCUGAGGCGCGAAAGCGUGGGGAGCGAACCGG
rnacentral:rRNA from 1 species